rnacentral:rRNA from 1 species
AGUAAAAGUCGUAACAAGGUCUCCGUAGGUGAACCUGCGGAGGGAUCAUUACAGAGAACAUCGCCCUCACGGGUGACUCUCCAACCCUAUGUUAUUAAAACCUUUGUUGCUUUGGCGGGCCGCUUCGGCCACCGACUUCGGUUGGUGCGCGCCCGCCAGAGGACCACAAACUCUUGUUUAUUAAUGUCGUCUGAGUAAUAUAUAAUAGUUAAAACUUUCAACAACGGAUCUCUUGGUUCUGGCAUCGAUGAAGAACGCAGCGAAAUGCGAUAAGUAAUGUGAAUUGCAGAAUUCAGUGAAUCAUCGAAUCUUUGAACGCACAUUGCGCCCCGUGGUAUUCCGCGGGGCAUGCCUGUUCGAGCGUCAGUACAACACUCAAGCUCUGCUUGGUAUUGGGCCCCGUCCGUCUGGACCGGCCUUAAAAUCAGUGGCGGUGCCAUCGGGCUCUAAGCGUAGUAAUACUCCUCGCUACAGAGUCCCGUUGCGUGCUGGCCAGAAACCCCCAACUUUCUAAGUUUGACCUCGGAUCAGGUAGGGAUACCCGCUGAACUUAAGCAUAUCAAUAAGCGGAGGAAAAGAAACCAACAGGGAUUGCCCCAGUAACG